rnacentral:rRNA from 1 species
GUUUGAUCCUGGCUCAGGACGAACGCUGGCGGCGUGCCUAACACAUGCAAGUCGAGCGAGGAAUGACUGGUAGCUUGCUACUGGUUAUUUCUAGCGGCGGACGGGUGAGUAACGCGUGAGCAACCUGCAUUUAUCAGGGGGAUAACGCAUCGAAAGAUGUGCUAAUACCGCGUAAGACCACAGCCUCACAUGGGGCAGGGGUCAAAGGAGCAAUCCGGAUAAAGAUGGGCUCGCGUCCGAUUAGCUAGUUGGUGAGAUAACAGCCCACCAAGGCGACGAUCGGUAGCCGACCUGAGAGGGUGAUCGGCCACAUUGGAACUGAGAGACGGUCCAGACUCCUACGGGAGGCAGCAGUGGGGAAUAUUGGGCAAUGGGCGAAAGCCUGACCCAGCAACGCCGCGUGAGGGAAGAAGGGUUUCGGCUCGUAAACCUCUGUCCUAUGGGACGAAGGAAGUGACGGUACCAUAGGAGGAAGCCCCGGCUAACUACGUGCCAGCAGCCGCGGUAAUACGUAGGGGGCGAGCGUUGUCCGGAAUGAUUGGGCGUAAAGGGCGCGUAGGCGGCCUGCUAAGUCUGAAGUGAAAGUCCUGCUUUCAAGGUGGGAAGUGCUUUGGAUACUGUCGGGCUUGA